GACGAACGCUGGCGGCGUGCCUAAUACAUGCAAGUAGAACGCUGAAGGAGGAGCUUGCUUCUCUGGAUGAGUUGCGAACGGGUGAGUAACGCGUAGGUAACCUGCCUGGUAGCGGGGGAUAACUAUUGGAAACGAUAGCUAAUACCGCAUAAGAGUAGAUGUUGCAUGACAUUUGCUUAAAAGGUGCAAUUGCAUCACUACCAGAUGGACCUGCGUUGUAUUAGCUAGUUGGUGGGGUAACGGCUCACCAAGGCGACGAUACAUAGCCGACCUGAGAGGGUGAUCGGCCACACUGGGACUGAGACACGGCCCAGACUCCUACGGGAGGCAGCAGUAGGGAAUCUUCGGCAAAGGACGGAAGUCUGACCGAGCAACGCCGCGUGAGUGAAGAAGGUUUUCGGAUCGUAAAGCUCUGUUGUAAGAGAAGAACGAGUGUGAGAGUGGAAAGUUCACACUGUGACGGUAUCUUACCAGAAAGGGACGGCUAACUACGU
rnacentral:rRNA from 1 species